rnacentral:rRNA from 1 species
GAUGAACGCUGGCGGCGUGCCUAAUACAUGCAAGUCGAGCGAACAGACGAGGAGCUUGCUCCUCUGACGUUAGCGGCGGACGGGUGAGUAACACGUGGAUAACCUACCUAUAAGACUGGGAUAACUUCGGGAAACCGGAGCUAAUACCGGAUAACAUGUUGAACCGCAUGGUUCAACAGUGAAAGACGGUCUUGCUGUCACUUAUAGAUGGAUCCGCGCCGCAUUAGCUAGUUGGUAAGGUAACGGCUUUCCAAGGCAACGAUGCGUAGCCGACCUGAGAGGGUGAUCGGCCACACUGGAACUGAGAAACGGUCCAGACUCCUACGGGAGGCAGCAGUAGGGAAUCUUCCGCAAUGGGCGAAAGCCUGACGGAGCAACGCCGCGUGAGUGAAGAAGGUCUUCGGAUCGUAAAACUCUGUUAUUAGGGAAGAACAAAUGUGUAAGUAACUAUGCACGUCUUGACGGUACCUAAUCAGAAAGCCACGGCUAACUACGUG